UGGAGUAAGCUUUUAUAACUUCCCAAAUAAACAAUGUUCCCUCUUCCAGCAAUGCAGCCAUUCACUUAAGUUCAGCAUAGCAUAUCUCAUGCACCAUAUAAAGAAAAAGAACUCGCUGCCCUUUUCCUUUUUCAGCAAUACAAUGGUCAACCAGAUUCAGCAACACAUGAAUGAGGCACCACAGUAAGGCACAGUACAAAGGCAGCAAACUGAAGAGGAAGAUAAUCAAGCCUCAACCACCCACCCCCCAUCAAUCCUCCUCCUCCUCCUCCUCCCCCUCUCAACCACCCUCCCCCCAUCAAUCCUCCUCCUCCUCCCCCUCUCAACCACCAUUCCCCCUCAACCACCCUCCCCCAUCAAUCCACCUCCUCCCCCUCUCAACCACCCUCCUUCUCUCAAUCUGACACCAAUCUCAAUCUGCCCCCCUCUCAAUCUGCCCCCCUUCUCAACUACCCUCCCCCUCUCAAGCCCCUUCACCUAUCCUACCUCCCACCCCCUUUCAACACCCUUCCCACAUCCAACCUCCCACCCCCUCUUUGGGAUAUGAAACUGAGGAAGAGGGCGAGUGGGCCACUAUGGCCCCAGAACAUGAUGGCCCAGAAAUGGAGACUUAUCCUGACCAAGGAGCCUGAAAUAUGGCCAUACGGGCAGAAAUAGUGGCCAUGCAAGGCCACAUCCAGGCCCUUCUGGCCACUGUGGAUCGGUUUAUUUGUUUUUUUCAAAUUUUUUAUUUUUAUUUGUAAAAUGUUUGAUAAACCCAAACUAAUUCAAAAACAAAGUUUGUAUUAAAAAUAAAAUGAAAUCAUAAUUUACUAA